UCAAUUCAAGUAUCCACCAAAAUGAGCCGGCCACAAAGAACUCAUUGUACUAAUCACGAACCCCUAUUCUAUAUGCCCUUAACCCUGGAUUUAUACCACAGAGCAAACAAAAAAGACUACAUAAAGUGCUUUGUAACAGGGAGGAGGCAUUUUGGUUAGUGUAGUUGCAGCAUUUUGAGCAAGCUAAAAAGGUAAACUUACUACGAAGUCAGCGAAGUAAUGCUGCAAGUCAAACUAAGCACUAACCUCCCACAUAAUAACCCGGAAACAAACAGAACAGGAAUCUAACCCAGAGCGAGCUGCUUUCAGCAGUCAUAGCUCACCAAAGUCAUCAUAAAGGCAUUCUGCAGAAAAUUUCCUUUAAAAUUUCUGCCAUUGUGCGAAACUCUCUCUCUCUCUCUCUCUCUCUCUCUCUCUCUCUCAUCCUUAUGAGCCAACGUGUCACGAACAAGUGUGUGUUUAUUAUGCUCUUGAGGGUAUACCGAUGGAUAACAGUAAGUGAUAAAGGUUCAAUAAUUAAAAAUCUCCAGAGGCAAUUCUCUCGCGCUCCAAAUGGCGAGUUCAUCCCUACCGAAUGGGUAGCUUCAAUCUUCAUCUCCUUUCCAGGUUUUGAUCUUUCGAUUAUGCUGUAAUGGAAACCCAUGAACCAUCCUCCACUAUCACUCACUUUGAUCUUUCCAGAUUCUGCAAUACUACACCCACCUAUUAAACCCUAAAAACCCAUUGCGAUGAAAACCCACGAAUCAUCAUCCACUAUAACUCACUCGGUUUUUUCCAGCUCCUGCAAUAUUUCAUCCACAGAUUAAACCCCUAAGAAACCCAUUUCAUACUCUUAAGCCGAUCGAAUCCUCAUACGGAGAAAUCAAUAGAUAUUUCCCAUCCUCUCCCCCGAAAAACCCACAGCAACCCUCGACCAAAAACCCCUUCGAAUCCUCCUUUAGAUAUACCCGCAGAUCCGAGCUCCCUUCAAAUCGAGCGUGGUAACGACCCCUCGCUGUUUCCAAAUAGUUAAGCCAGCCAGCGUAAUCUGCAGACGGAAAAUGGCAGCUCAGAAUGAGGAAGAGAGGCGAGUUGCGGCUCUUUGCAGAAGCCUUGGAAAUCUAUGGUCCGAAGAAGAUGUUGUGGAGAUAAAAGGUGAUAUUCCUGAUGAAAGACUGUCUGAAUGCCGCAAAACUCUGUUUGGGAAAUUUUAUACUAAUCCGAAUGCAAACUUUACUGCUUUCCUCAACACAAUGAAAAGGGUGUGGAGAGUUGAUACUGUUACCUGCACUGUUCUUGAACCGGGUUACUACUCCUUCUCCUUUCAAUCUGAAGCUGAGAAACAAAGAGUUUUCGAUAUGAGGCCAUGGUCUUUCUCUAGUCAUUUAUUAGUAUUACAACAAUGUGAUCCUGAUACUCCUGAGUUGUGUUAUGAUUUUACACACUGCGAGUUUUGGGUGCAAUUCUAUGGGCUCCCUUAUGGAAGAGUGACUUAUGAUGUUAUAAGAGAUAUAGCUGUGAAAUUGGGCGAAGUGAUUGAGGUGAAAAUAGAAACAAAAGGAAACAGCAACUACAAGUUUGGUAAGGCCAGAAUCAAGCUGGAUCUGGAGAAGCCUCUGAAGACAGGAGUCCUAGUAAAUUUGGAGAAAAAGAGGCUAUGGAUUGAAUUCAAAUACGAACGACUCCCACACUAUUGUUACUCGUGUGGAAAGAUUGGGCAUUAUGCCACAUUUUGCAGAGAAAUACCCUAUGAGAAAUCGGGGUUAGCAGAUAACUUACCGGGAAGGUUUGGCCAAUGGUUAAAAGCAGAAGUUCAUCAACUCAGUCCAUAUGGGAAGAUAUUUUAUGGAAAGCAAGAGAUAAUACCGGAGGAUGUAGAGAGUGUGCCCGAGACGCCCAUCUAUGCAAAUCCUGAAACACGUAAGAAUCAGCAAGAGCAAAAUUCAGAACAAGAUUUAGCCAUCUGUGGGCAGGAUGAUGCAGAACAGCACUUUAAUCAGGAGAACAGACACUCAUAUCAGCCCAUAGAAAUGCUAUUAAUGGAGGAGCGAGGGCCACAGAAGAGAGGAAGCAGAUGUAUUGAUACAGAGUCAGAAAUGAUUCUAUAUGAAGAACAAUUGAAGGAAGCGGCGAUGGCUGUAGAAGAGAUAAUACCAGAGGAAGAGGGGUUGGGGAAAUCUAAAACCCGCAUUUCAAAGGCCUCAAAUACGAAAAAAGGCAAGCGCUUUUGCCCGUAUGGUGCACAAUCUUCAAAAACUCAGGUCCUGGACACCACACAGUUGGUGGAAACCCCUAUCCAUGUGAUGGAGAAGUCUAAACAGUGGGCUUUGGUGGCUAGCCCUAAUAAGCCACCGGAUCAUCCAUGAAGCUAUUAAGUUGGAAUUGUCAAGGGUUGGGCACACCCUUGACAAUUCAAGCCCUGAGGGUCCUAGCGACCCAGGAAAGGCCCAGUGUUAUUUUCUUAAUGGAGACCAAAAAUCAAGAAAAAAAGGUGCAGCGCAUACAAAAAAGGCUGAGAUAUAAAAAUAGUUUCGUGGUGAAUCCAGAAGGAAUUGCAGGGGGAUUAGCAUUGUUCUGGGAUGAUCAAGUAGAGUUAUUUAUGGACUCUUGGUCAAAAAGCCAUAUUAAUGCCCAAUGCGUACUUAAAGAAACCCAACAGCAAAUGCAUAUUACCUUUGUACAUGCCCCUAAUGUGUUUCAAGAAAGAGUGGUGUUAUGGGGGGAUCUAUAUAGAGAUAGCACUAGAAACCAUUUACCAUGGCUUUGCUUGGGGGACUUCAACGAAAUACUAUACCAUUGGGAAAAAGCGGGCAAGAAGAGGGCAGAAACUUACAGACUUACUGCAUUCAGGGACUUCCUUCUACAAUGCUCCUUAAUGGAUUUGGAGAGCAAGGGCUGUGCAUUCACCUGGAAAAAUAACAGAACAGGGGAGCAGUUAGUCAAGGAGCGGCUUGACAGAGCUUUAUGUGAUAUAGAAUGGCGAAUAGCACACCCCAAUGCUGAAUGUACAGCUCUACCAGCCAUCGGGUCGGACCACAGCCCACUACUAGUAUCUUUAAAUGUACGAAGGAAGAGGAAAAGGAGAGCUUUCAGAUAUGAGGCAUUUUGGUCUGAAAAUGAGGAGUGCGGGCAUCUUGUUAGAACAACUUGGGAUGAAUUGGGACCUCAAAACUUGUGUAUGGUGGAGAAAUUGCAGAUAGUAGCACAAAAACUCGAAGUUUGGAGUAAACAGAGGCUAUAUAAUGCAAAAACCAGGAUUAAUGAGCUGAAGCAUGAUUUACAAAGAUUGACAAAUGCUCCGGAAACAAAUCAAGAAAGUGAGACAGCAAAGCAGAUAACUCGGGAAAUUGAACAACUAUGGCGACAAGAGGAGAUGUACUGGGGUAUGCGCUCAAGGAUUUCAUGGCUUAAAUGGGGAGAUCGAAACACAAAAUUUUUUCAUGCAACUACUAUCCAGAGGAGAUGUAGAAACAGAAUUACCUUGCUGAAAAAUGAAGGAGAUGAAUGGGUGAAAGAGGAAGAGCCCUUAAAGGAGAUAACAGCAGCAUUCUUCAAAAACUUGUACACUUCAGUGGGGACACGUAAUUUUCAACCUGUCAUACAGCAAAUUCCAGCUUCAGUUGAUGAAAAUAUGAAUCAGAGGCUUGUUGAACCAGUUACAAUGGAGGAAAUCACAGCUGCAAUGAAACAACUAGGGGCCACUAAGGCUCCUGGACCAGACGGACUGAAUGGAUUAUUCUAUCGAACCCAUUGGACAUCUAUCAGCCAUGAUAUAUUCAGAGAAGUGCAGCAUUUUUUUGAGACAGGUUACCUAAACCCUGAUCUAAACAGAACAUCAAUCUCUCUUAUCCCCAAAAUCCCCAAUCCUGAAAAGAUCGAACAGUUUCGGCCAAUUAGCCUAUGUAAUUUCGCUUAUAAAAUAAUAUCUAAGGUGAUGACAAAUAGGCUUAAACCUAUGCUACCAAGCAUUAUUACAGAGGAAUAGAGUGCAUUUGUGGGGGGAAGGCAGAUUCAAGACAAUAUCCUGAUGGUACAAGAAGUACUCCAAAAGCUGCGAACUCGAGAGAGAAAACGUAAAUUCCAAGCGGUGUUAAAGCUGGACAUGCAAAAGGCCUAUGACCGUAUUGAAUGGGAUUUUCUCCGGGAAUGCUUGCUAAAAAUGGGUUUCUGCGAGAAGUGGGUGCAAUGGGUGCAGCAGUGUGUGUCAACAGUCUCCUUUAGCAUAAAUUUUAAUGGUGAACCUCAGCCUUUCUUCAAGCCUACAAGAGGACUAAGACAAGGUGAUCCUUUAUCCCCGUAUCUCUUUAUUCUAGUGGCAAAUGUCCUCUCACAAUUGAUGAAACAAGCUGUUGAAGAUGGUACAAUUCAGGGGAUAAAGCUUAACAGUGCAUGUCCUACUCUAUCCCAUUUGCUCUUUGUGGAUGACUCCAUAUUUUUCCUCAAUGGCACUAUUUUAGAAUGUCAAAAUUUAGCAGAAAUACUACAUCGUUACUGUUUUGCGUCAGGACAGGCCAUCAAUCUGAAUAAAUCAGGUAUAUGCUUCAGUAAGAGCUGCCCGAGGAGACUAAGAAUUAACAUGGCAGAAGAGUUGAGGGUCCCAGAAAUAGAAAAAACAGGGAAGUACCUUGGUAUUCCCUCGGAUUGGGGAGGAUCUAAAAAAGAUGUUUUCGCUUGGAUUUUGGCUCGAGUGAACAAGAAAUUAGAAAGCUGGAAGGAGAAUUUGCUAACUAAAGCAGGCAAAGAAAUACUAAUUAAAUCGGUGGUGCAGGCUAUUCCUCAAUACGCAAUGUCUAUAUUCAAGAUCCCGGUGUCUAUAUGUAAAGCAAUAGAGAGGAAGAUAGCUAAUUUUUGGUGGAAAAAUGGGAAAAACUCUGCUGGGAUUCAUUGGAAGAAAUGGGAGUCUCUGAAGCUUAGGAAAGAUGAAGGAGGGCUUGGUUUUAAGGACUUACUAGCUUUUAAUGUGGCAAUGCUAGGAAAGCAAGCAUGGAGGAUUUCGCAGCGACCUAACUCUUUAUUGAGUAGAUUAAUGAAGGGUCUAUAUUACCCAAAGUGCGAUUUCUGGAAUGCUGGAAUAGGAACAAGACCCUCGUGGGGAUGGCGAAGCAUCAUUGCGGGAAGGGAUUCUAUAUCUCCAAAUGUUAUGUGGUCUGUUGGUAAUGGUCAGAAAAUUAUGGUGAGGGAAGAUAAAUGGCUAAGAAGCGGGAUAAUUGGAGGUCCGGCGGCGAGAGACGAGCCAGAGAAAGUGUGUGAACUCAUAGAACAGAGAAGUCGCACGUGGAAUGAAACAAAGAUCCGAAUGAUGUUUGAUGAACCAAGGGUGACGGAGAUUCUAGCUACACCCAUUGGCCUACCCUCAACAGCAGAUACAUUAGUAUGGAUGCAAACAAAAUCUGGAGCAUAUUCAGUAAGGAGCGGCUACUUGACUACAAGAGAUAACGCCGCAACCCCACACCCCAACAAAGCCUCAUCCUCUCACCAAAUACAACCGGGCCUAUGGAAACAUAUUUGGAGCUCAAACAUUCUACCUAAAGUAAGGCUAUUCCUCUGGAACGCAUGCCAAAACGCAUUACCUACAGUGGAAAAUUUAUACCGGAGAAGAAUCUUACCUGACCCACUUUGCCCCAUAUGCCAAAAAGAAGCCGAGACCAUUUAACAUACACUGCUGUUAUGUCCAUGGACAGCAAUAAUCUGGCAAGACAACUCGCUGCAAAUCAAAAUCAGCAGGUUAGGUUUAACAAGGUUGGAUGAAUGGUUGCAUAUACAGAAAGAGAAUGCUCAAAGCGCAACAAAGUUCAACAAAAUCGCAACAACCUUGUGGUGUAUAUGGCAAGACCGUAAUCACUAUGUCUUCGAAGGAAAGGCCCUGCAACCGAAACAGAAUCUAUAUAGAUCAGCGGCUCUCCAAGAGAACUGCGAAAUCUGGAACAAGAGGACAGCCAAGGAGAAACUGCGAGAAGAUCACACGCACCGGUGGAAACCCCCGCCCCCCGACUCACUCUGAGCAAACAUUGACGCCUCCUUUGUACAGCAAGAAGCCGAGCCAGCAAACAUGGCCGAGAACAGAGGAGUACCGGAAAACAGGGCAGCAAUAGCCUGCAUAUGCAGAGACUCACGGGGACGCCUAAUCAAUGGCUUCUCCAAAACGGUGAAGGCGAUCUCCGCGGAACAAGCAGAAGCGAUCUCCCUCUUGGAAACCCUAAAUUUUCUCUCCAGCCGCACGAACAGAAGAUGGGAAGUACACU
rnacentral:lncRNA from 1 species